rnacentral:rRNA from 1 species
GCAAUGGGAUGCGAAUCUCGAAAGCCUGUCUCAGUUCGGAUUGGAGGCUGAAACCCGCCUCCAUGAAGUUGGAUUCGCUAGUAAUCGCGCAUCAGCCAUGGCGCGGUGAAUACGUUCCCGGGCCUUGUACACACCGCCCGUCAAGCCAUGGGAGCCGGGGGUGCCUGAAGUUCGUGACCGCAAGGAGCGACCUAGGGCAAAACUGGUGACUGGGGCUAAGUCGUAACAAGGUACC